AACCAUAGAAACCUGCGGAGUACCUGCGGAGGGAUCAUUAUAGUAUAUGGAAUCUCCAUUCUAUAAACCCACUCUGCGUAUUUUGUAACUGUUGCUUCCAUGGGACUUGGUUCCGCCACACCGGCUUCACGGCUGGUGAGCGCCCAUGGAAGGAGAAACAAAACUCUUCUUUGAAAUGUAGUCAGUCUGAACAAGUUUUUAUAAACGUUAAAACUUUUAACAAUGGAUCUCAGAUCGGAA
rnacentral:misc_RNA from 1 species